CCCUCUCAAGCCCACUGUAGCUCCCAGGGCUCUGCAUGUCCCUAGGGAGGCUCCAACUUCAACAGGGGGCAUCAGGACUCUGGAGGGAGGGAGGAGAUGGGAGGGAAGACAAGGCAGUUGGAGCUGGAAAUCAGUUCUCCUACAGAGCUACCUGUGAACAAUGCCUUGCAUGCUACAUAAUAGCUUAUAAUUCAAAAUGCUUUUAGACAUUGAAACACCUAUCUUUAUCAGUUCUUCUCUCCUAUAUUCUAUGAGAAAUUAAGCUGAUUGGGAAAGAAAUGAAACAUAGGAAACAUCUCCAGAGUGCUCGAAAUUGUAGAAAAUACUGACACAUUCUAGUUAUAUGUAUCUUUAAGCCCAUCUAAGUCUAAGCUUAAGAAGUAAUUAAUAACAAAAUAACGCUUUUCUUUACAGUAUUCCAAACAUUAUAGUGGCACAUUAUAUUGACUAACUUCAGCUGACGCAAGGAAAGCAUGAAAAAAAGAAGUGGUGGUGGGUGAAUCAUCCGCUCUCAGCGGUGGCAAUUAUGCAGGGCACAAAGCAUCUGCAAGAACAGCUCUACUGCGGAGGGAGUGAAAGGACAGAAACAAAGGACAGGGUGCUUCCGUGUGCAGGGUUUGUGUCUGCGUGGCCAGUGGCCCUGCGUAGGAUGGUAAUCACCAAGGCUCAGAUGAUGGAGACCUGCUUCCCUUGACGUCGCUUUUUAAAAAAUGAUUUCAAAAGCAGAGCGGUUCCUAUUUUGACAGUGUCCUGGGUGAAACUUAGCUCUAAGAUUUUGAAAUCUUGAUGAGUAGAAACUGGAAACAAAAAAUGGCUCAAAAACUGUUAGCCCUUUCUUGAGAAAGCAUCAAUUUCCAUUUGACGAAGACAUGGUUGUUUCCUGAAGCCCUUUGAGUGGGGCCUUGGGUUAAACCUGUGUCCAGGCAAGGAGCUGCUGGGUGAAAGCUGACGCAGGAGGUCAGCGGGCUGCAGAGCUCUCACAUCAAAACACCAUAAUCUGCUGCCUGUGACUUCUCUUCCAUGCAUGUCUGCUUGUUCUUCUCUUCCCACCAUGAGAUCCACUCCAGAAACCCAGCAGUUGCCAGGGCCAUCUUCCAGAACUGUGAGUCGAAAUAAAUCUUUUUCUUUUAUAAAUUAUCCAGUCUCAGGUAUUUUGGUAUAGCAAAUGAAAACAGACAAAGACAUAGACAAAGGAAAAGGAAGCACAAGACAACCUUCUCUCCUUGGGAAACUGUAAUAGACUGGUAACUCAACAGGAAGGGACCUCAUAGAAGACUGGCUUGACACCCCCUAUUGCAGUUGUGUUCCAGUUCAGGUAAUUGGAUCCCUGAAUCAUUCUGGAGAGCAAAGUUCCUAACCGUGGAGAUCCAUCUCCAGCCACUUCUUCUGCCAGAAUCACCACAUCAGAGCGCGAAGGUUGAUUGUUACAGAUGCAGCACAAACACCUAAGGUUUUUGCCUGCUGAGGAGGACCCAGGGCCUCGUCAAUCAUCAAGUGCAAGGGGACAACCUCUCCCUGAAGACCCCUCCAAUUCGAACCUACCAGAGUUCCUUGUCCUCGUCCUCCUUCUCAAGUGCUCACUUCCAAUCUCUAGUCUCCUGCAUGCCUGCUGGAUCUGCCUGCCCUUGGCUGUCAUGAGUGGGGAAGGUGCUCAUCAUGAACCAAAAUGGGGAUUUCUGGAGCCAUGGAGACACCCAGAGAUCUGCAGCUGGAGCAGUAUCCUUUUGAGCAGCCUUGGUUGAAGCAGCAGCUGUAUCAGGGCUUCAGCAGAGACUGAAGCAGAGUUCUUUGAGGCAAUUGCGACACCUGUAGGGAUAACUAUAGCAAAUGUAGAAGUCAGGGUGCCUGGAUUGUGGCUUCUAGAGUAGCUACCACUGUUAUUAUAAUGGCCCAGUUGGGCUGGUGAAACAGUGAAGGUGCAAUCAGUGGUCCUGGCAGCAGCCACAGAAGUGGUGGAUGCGGUUGGCAAUUGUCAGAGAAAUUACAAAAGUGCCAGGGAGUUGCUGGUAUCUGUUGCUACCUACCUCAACUCUCCUGGGUGGUUGGGGCUGGUGCCCAGGAUUUCAGAGGGCCCAACUCUGACUCCUGUCCCCACCUCUACCCUGACAUGCAGGCCAAUUAUAGCUGCCUGGUGGCCCUCCAGGAUGGCAGCAGCUGGAACCAAGUGGCCAGACAUGAAGGAAGGGACAGAAGCUAGCUAAGCAGCUGGGCCCUACAAUGUCAGCUUCUGCUGGCCCCAGGCAACUUUGGUGGAUAGGAGAAAAAUAACCUGUUUGUAAAGAGAAAAAAAAAUCUCAGAAACACAAAAAGCAAAAAAAGAUUCUUUGGGUUCAGCCCUCCUAUUCUAUCUCAUAUUUGUCUUUUGUUUUGAAAUCCAAGGACAUUUUCUUUCUCUAUGUUACAAAGCAAGGCAAGAACACCAUUAAAAGCAUGAUUCUCA